rnacentral:rRNA from 1 species
AGAGUUUGAUCCUGGCUCAGGACGAACGCUGGCGGCGCGCUUAACACAUGCAAGUCGAACGGACCGAAUUCUUUCGGGAACGAGGUUAGUGGCAAACGGGUGAGUAACGCGUAGGCAACCUGCCUCCCGGAUAGGGACAACGGCUCGAAAGAGCCGCUAAUACCUCAUGUCGUACAGAGGUCGCAUGAUUUCUGUAUGAAAGGUGCUCAUGGCACCGCCGGGAGAGGGGCCUGCGUCUGAUUAGCUAGUUGGUGAGGUAACGGCCCACCAAGGCGACGAUCAGUAGCCGGUCUGAGAGGAUGAACGGCCACAAUGGGACUGAGACACGGCCCAUACUCCUACGGGAGGCAGCAGUGGGGAAUCUUCCGCAAUGGGCGAAAGCCUGACGGAGCGACGCCGCGUGAGUGAAGAAGGUCUUCGGACCGUAAAGCUCUUUUGUUAUAGGCGAAAGGCUGAAGUAGGAAAUGACUUCAGUAAGACGGUAUAUAACGAAUAAGCCACGGCUAACUACGUGCCAGCAGCCGCGGUAAUACGUAGGUGGCGAGCGUUGUCCGGAAUUAUUGGGCGUAAAGGGAGCGCAGGCGGAAGGACAAGCCAGAUUUGAAAGUUCGGGGCUCACCCCCGUGACGGAUCUGGAACUGUCCUCCUUGAGAGCGGGAGAAGGAAGCGGAAUUCCUGGUGUAGCGGUGAAAUGCGUAGAUAUCAGGAAGAACACCAGUGGCGAAAGCGGCUUUCCGGACCGAAUCUGACGCUGAGGCUCGAAAGCCAGGGGAGCGAACGGGAUUAGAUACCCCGGUAGUCCUGGCCGUAAACGAUGGAUGCUAGGUGUGGGAGGUAUCCACCCCUUCCGUGCCGGAAGCAAACCCAUAAGCAUCCCGCCUGGGGGAGACGGGCGCAAGAAUGAAACUCAAAGGAAUGACCCGGGGCCCGCACAACCCGGUGGAGUAUGUGGUUUAAUUCGACGCAACGCGAAGAACCUUACCAGGGGCUUGACAUUGAUUGAAAGACAUAGAGAUAUGUCCCUCUCUUCGGAGACAAGAAAACAGGUGGUGCAUGGCUGUCGUCAGCUCGUGUCGUGAGAUGUUGGGUUAAGUCCCGCAACGAGCGCAACCCCUGUACUGUGUUGCCAGCAUGUAAAGAUGGGAACUCACAGUAGACUGCCGCGGAGAACGCGGAGGAAGGCGGGGAUGACGUCAAGUCAUCAUGCCCCUUAUGCCCUGGGCUACACACGUACUACAAUGGGCAGGACAGAAGGAAGCGACAUCGCGAGAUGAAGCGGACCCUGAAACCUGUCCCCAGUUCGGAUUGCAGGCUGAAACCCGCCUGCAUGAAGUCGGAAUCGCUAGUAAUCGCAGGUCAGCAUACUGCGGUGAAUACGUUCCCGGGCCUUGCACACACCGCCCGUCA